rnacentral:rRNA from 1 species
GACCUCGGAUCAGGUAGGAAU